rnacentral:rRNA from 1 species
AGGUAAGCUACUAAGAGCGAAUGGUGGAUGCCUUGACUGGUAAAGGCGAUGAAGGACGUACUAGACUGCGAUAAGCUACGGGGAGCUGUCAAGAAGCUUUGAUCCGUAGAUUUCCGAAUGGGGCAACCCAAUGUAUAGAGAUAUACAUUACCUAUAUAGGAGCGAACGAGGGGAAUUGAAACAUCUUAGUACCCUCAGGAAAAGAAAUCAAUAGAGAUUGCGUCAGUAGCGGCGAGCGAAAGCGCAAGAGGGCAAACCCAGUGCUUGCACUGGGGGUUGUAGGACUGCAAUGUGCAAGAGCUGAGUUUAGCAGAACAUUCUGGAAAGUAUAGCCAUAGAGGGUGAUAGUCCCGUAUGCGAAAAACAAAGCUUAGCUAGCAGUAUCCUGAGUAGGGCGGGACACGAGGAAUCCUGUCUGAAUCCGGGUCGACCACGAUCCAACCCUAAAUACUAAUACCAGAUCGAUAGUGCACAAGUACCGUGAGGGAAAGGUGAAAAGAACUGAGGUGAUCAGAGUGAAAUAGAACCUGAAACCAUUUGCUUACAAUCAUUCAGAGCACUAUGUAGCAAUACAGUGUGAUGGACUGCCUUUUGCAUAAUGAGCCUGCGAGUUGUGGUGUCUGGCAAGGUUAAGCAAACGCGAAGCCGUAGCGAAAGCGAGUCUGAAUAGGGCGCUUAGUCAGAUGCUGCAGACCCGAAACGAAGUGAUCUAUCCAUGAGCAAGUUGAAGCUAGUGUAAGAACUAGUGGAGGACUGAACCCAUAGGCGUUGAAAAGCCCCGGGAUGACUUGUGGAUAGGGGUGAAAGGCCAAUCAAACUUCGUGAUAGCUGGUUCUCUCCGAAAUAUAUUUAGGUAUAGCGUUGUGUCGUAAUAUAAGGGGGUAGAGCACUGAAUGGGCUAGGGCAUACACCAAUGUACCAAACCCUAUCAAACUCCGAAUACCUUAUAUGUAAUCACAGCAGUCAGGCGGCGAGUGAUAAAAUCCGUCGUCAAGAGGGAAACAACCCAGACUACCAGCUAAGGUCCCUAAGUCUUACUUAAGUGGAAAACGAUGUGAAGUUACUUAAACAACCAGGAGGUUGGCUUAGAAGCAGCCAUCCUUUAAAGAAAGCGUAAUAGCUCACUGGUCUAGUGAUUUUGCGCGGAAAAUAUAACGGGGCUAAAGU